UUCAAGGAGGCAGCCGGGAGAGAGAAACGUGUUGUCGAGACCAUGGGAAUAGUAGAUGUGACGGAACCCAAUUGAGGACUCUAUGUAAACUUUGCACUUUAAAAUUCUGUCAGGCAAGUGCGGAGAUUUACUCCUCUUGCCGCUGACCUACGCAGACCAGUUGGAUCCGAAAUCCUGCACAGUUUUGCCUGUUUGCUCAUUGGCUGGGAGAACACAUGGUCAUAGACUGAUUAAAACAAGACUUUUUGCAGAAUGGGGUUGAUUUUCCAAAGUGCAGUGAUGCAGUUCCCCUCUGCUCCCCAUCCCUACCAUACCCUAUUCGGGCUGGAUUCAUGAGAAGAAAAUUGUUCCGUAAUUCUACACAGCACAUGUUGAAGACAUGGGCACUUAUGGAAACAGCACGGCGGCAGGCACCCCGCGGAAGAUAAUACUUACAUGGAGACAACAACCUGCCCAGUUGUGGGACUUUCUGUAGUAGAAGAGCAGCCUGGUUUAAGCACUGAGAAAGCCUUCAUUUCAGGAAAAAAAUAUUUAGGAAGGACAGUAUCAGAAACCCAAGGAGAGAACCAAAUUACAAAACACUGAGAAGUUAAAACACGAAGGGAUUUUGCACAACAGAAGACUUGAUGUCAGUGGCCUUUCCUGUCUUUUGUGAAAGCUUAAACCCUCUGAAGAAAUUAUGCCAGGUGUUCCGGAGAGGGAAGAGAGAGAAGUGACUUUCAAGGCGAUUCCCUUUUCUUAGGAAUGAGAUGACGUUGGAGGCCUCGGUGCUGGCUGAAGGAGAACAAGAUGUCUGCCUUCUCCCUGUGUUCUCACAUGGCCUUUUUUCUGCACACCAACGUAUGUGGCGUCUCCUGCUUUUCUUGGGAAGCCAGAGGUCAUGAGGACACUUAAGUAGCCUUGUGUGGAGGCCCGUGAGUGGAGGAACAGAGUUCUCCUGCCAACAGAGGAUUCUCCAGCCCUAGUCAAGCCUUCAGACGACUGCAGCUUGGUAACAUCUUGACGGCAAGCUCAUGAGAUCCUGAGCCGGAAGCACUGGCUAAAUUGUUCCUGACUAGACUAGAAUCUGUGAGAGGCAGCUCUCCAAAACCAUCCCGACAAGCCACUGCCUCACCCCUCAUCUCGUAAAACCUUCAGAAGGGAACGCACAUGAAAGGCAGAGCAGAUUCUAUCUCUUUCCAGAUUUGCCCUUCGGUCUACUUUUGGGGCUCUGAGAACACAUGAAUUAACAUGAACCAGGGAAAGCAUUCAAAAGUAGGCCUCUCCAAUGAUGAGCCAAGCCAGUUACCUUACAGCUUGCAUAUUUAUUGAACAAAGACUACUAAAAUAGCUAAAAUACACUGGGUACUUGUGAGUGCAUCAGUAAAGAUCACAUUGUUACAAAAGCCUGCAUUUUCAGCAGCGCACAACUGCAACUCUACAUAAAUGCCACAGAUGCAGAAUACUGUUUUCUUGCUCUAUUUACACAGCUGAUAUACCUAUUCUAACAAAGGAGGGAGGAGGAAAAUGCACAAGAAACUCAGGCCAGUGGGGGAGCAAGAAGAGAAAGAAGAAGUUACAUGCAUCAUCUGUGUUAACAGUCAGAAGCAUGACAGGGCGGGACAGAGCCUGCCUUGUCAAAGGAAGAGCUACAAGACAGUUAUAUAAAAAUUAAGGUGGGCUUUCAGACUGGCUAACACAACAACAAUCCAUGAGAAGAUGGUAUUGUCUGAUUUUAUUUUUGUUUAUCCUUUCAUUGGGAGCAAGGACAAAAAUGUAAAAUCUACACCUUGCUUCUCAAAACUGCCGGAAAAGAGUGCUCUGCCUUUUAAAAAAAAAAUUUUUUUAUAGAUAGGUUUUCCAACUUGACUUUUGGGAAUGGUGUAAUUUGCAUAUACCUACUCAGAUGCCAGUGUUUUGGAUUUUUUUCUGGAGGGCAUGUAUUUUAAAAGUUUGCCCUUCCCCCCCCCCAUCCCCCCCCAUAUCCUUUCAAACAAAAAGAACCAAAAGAGACACCUAAAAAUGCCUGUCAAAUUAUUGCUUGUCUUUCUCUAAGCUAGGCAGGCGAGGCUACCGGAAAGAAGAGAUUUGGUAAGUAAGUUACAGUUUUGUGAUUGCUCCCGCUCCACUGACUGCAUGUCCAUGAGCGCCAGCCAAUGAGACGUGAGUCUCUUACUCUCUCUGGUAGCAUUCGCCAACCUACCACGCUGAAGAAGAAAGCCACACUGAAGACACGAGGAAAACAAGUCAAUCCGGUCUAGAGAACAACAUUCAGGGAAACAGAGUACCAACACCUUCUUAGAACAUGGAAAUAAAAUAUAACUCCGUCAGAGCUACCUCGCCAAGGAGCAUGUUGAAAGUCCAAAAUAGCACCAUUCAUCAGUGUCUCAGGUCCUGUGGCAGCAUCUCGGUCACUUACCACAAGGAAACAAUGAGUUUCAAACUACUUCUAUACAUCAAAAGGGUACAUGGAUAAAAUAUAGAGAUAUACAGACAAUUGAUGAACAUAAACUACUAGGCUUGUUACAUCUAAAUGAAAAAAAAAAUGGGGACUCUCAGCCUCUGCAAGAAGCAGUAGGGAGCUGUGUGAGUAAAGGCAGGAGUGGACCGGUUGUGUGACAGCAGAGGGAGUCUGAGUUGUGGAAGACAUCGUCAUCGAGAACCAGGCCUGAAGGCCCACCUGUAAGGGUUGUAAACGUGGAUUCACAGUGUGAAAUUCUGAGCGUUUUCACUUGAGUCAGAAUGAUUAAAAACUGGUUUGAUGAUACCUAUUUGUCCACUGUAAAUUCUCUAAAGCAAGGCUCAGAGUCCCAUAGUUUCUUCUUAUACUUGAUGAUUUACACAGAAAAAAAUCCCAUAUAUGAUACCAUGACCUCAUCAAUACCCAUACACCAUAUGUAAUACAAAUGGAGGUGUUAACGAUUAAAAAGAGUGGAGGUAACUGAUGCCUGGGGAGUGGAGUUCACUGCUGCCAAGUGGAGUCAGGGAGGCAGCCUCAAUCUUGUCAUCCUUCUUGCGGUUCACCUCCUUGGGGACAGGAAGGCUUCCCUGAAAAGCAGGUGGACCCACACACAAACAGAUGGACACACACACACACAAAAGGCACUUAGUCAUGCUUGUGAAACCAUUUGAAAUUUUUUGCCUCUCCCUCCCGCCUUUUAUCCUUGAACUCCCGAUGUUUUGCAGAGUUUACAUAUUAAACACAGUUCACCUGAAUGUAAAUAUUAGGUCUGUGGGGGCAUGAAGUAAUUAAACACUAGCUGCCUUGGCUUCAGUAGAAUCAAGUGCUUCUCUGAUGGCUGUGCCCAGCCAUGUGGGAGGCAGCAUUCCCCAGAGUCAGGUUUCCGAGGACAGUUUCUAGUAUCAGACAGGGCCCAACAUGAGGUUGGGUAAGAGGUGCUCAUGAGCAUUAAUACAUUUUGCUUAAAGCAUUCAAUGGCUGUGGAGGUGGGUAAUUGCCUGUUUGACAACAUAUAAUAAAAAAAUGUUUAAAAGAAUAUCACAGCUUGUACAGAUGUAAUUUAUGUAUGGUUCAUUCUCUGAACACCUGGCCCAGUCCAUGUGGGUCUGAUAAUCAGAAUCACAAGCGGUACCAAAGGUGGGAGUGGGAAAGAGGGAGACAGUGUGAAACCCAGGCCAGGAGAGAGUGAGAUCAGCGAGUUUGGCCUGGGGCUAUUCUAAGUCUGUCCUCACAAGCCUGAUAAGUGAGGUGUUUGUGCUUCUGUCUAGAAUAAUCCAACUGCAAUGUGACUGAUGCUCCAUCAAGCACCCGCGAGGAGAAGCUCUCCAUCAUAACCAAACAGCAAGAGGGCAGGUCAAGGAAGCCCGUUUGCCCAAGGUGUAAUUGAAAAAUACAGGGCUAACCCUGUAUGCCCCAAUCAGAUACGAAAAUAGUGAUUUGACAACAGUCUGUCAGCCAAACCAUUAAUUGCUGUAGUUGUCUCAGGUACAUUAUCCAAUAUGGUUUUAAGAGAUUUUUUUUUCCCUUUUUGCUCAGGUGACAUAUUCCAAUAGGACAUUUAUAACAAGCUAUUUUGACUGGAUAUGAGUAAAGUAAUAAUCUUGCUCUGAGGUCUGUAAAUUAUGGCAUUUGAAUUUCUUUUUAAGAAGAAUUCAGAAGUCAGGGACUUUAAAACAACUUGAAAUUGAAUAAAUGUUUUCAGCAGCCCCAGGAUGAACUAAAUGUAAUAGAUAACUUAGCUUUAAUAAGUCUUAUUUACUGUAUAGAUUUUUCAUGUUAAACAUCUGGUAUGCCUAAAUUUGGGUUUAAAAAUUUCAGACUCUGCGAGCAUACUACAUUUCCGGAUGUAGAGAAAAUCCACUCAGUAUGUACUUCAGUGUUCCAGUCUUAGACUGUGAUUUAGAAGUUGUUUUGGCACAACUAAAUAGCAAUAGGACAAAAUCAGAAAAUUGAAUUAAAAUAUAAUUACCACUCACACACAAUUAAGGAUCUAGGUAAGUUUCCAAAAUCAUUAUAUUGGGCAGUCUUUUACAGUUGUGAAAAUAAAUUUAAUCAUGAUGUUUUGGCAUACAACCCCAAGAUUUUUUUUAAAAACCCACUAUAAUCCUGGUGCUUUUAAAAUGUGUGUUCUUGCUCCUCUAUCAGCCAUCAGCACGUUUCAAGAUAUGGAAGACUUAGGUUUUGGAUAAAUGAAGAAUUCAAUGGCUGCUAAUUAUCACAGGCCAGGAAGGGAAAUCAAAAGUUCUUAAGUGUUAUUUCACUCAACUGCACUCUAUACGUGACUGGCCUUAAAGUUGCUUACUUUAGUUCAUACUUCGUUCGUUAAUAUAGAGUGAAUAUAUAGAACAUUUGUCUCUACGUAAGUGUCUGUCUUACUGAUCUUUUACCUCUGUGGAAAAUACACAGCAAAACCAAAUGAAGAGUUGGGUGGGAUUCUGGGUAAUUUGGGGAGAGGUCUUUCCAGACCAAAAAAUACGAAGGAGAUUAUUUCAGAUUUGAAAGUACCAUUUUUACUGUUUUUUUCUCUUCUGAGCCCCCCCCAAACAUUUAUGUCCUCUUUAAUUUUUCAUGUUCUGAGUGCCUACUGUGGCUUGAGUACUCAGAUUUUAAGGCUACCAAGAUUAAAACAGAGGCAGAAACAGUCCCUGUCCAUCCUGCCCUUCGGCAACUUGCUGUAUAGGAGAUACCCAAGUGACUGGACAUUGCAAGGAAGUGGCGGUAAGCCAUGCAGGCAGGUGUGCUAGCAAAGCACCCUGAGGGACCACAACCCAACAAGCCUAGGGGGAGAGAAGCUCCUGGGGAGAAAAAGUUCUGCACAUCCUCCCUUUGGAGGCUGGAAUUUACUAGAUUUUAGCCCUUAAUCCCUGUCCCUCAUUUUUUGAAAAAAAAGAAUAAAGUCUGCACCCACUGAAGCAACUGUAGGCUUCUGCAGCAAGGGAAGACUACAAUGUAGUCUUAUUUCUCCAGAAGUUAGGCCUUGUAAGAAUUCAGGCAAAACUAAUCCUAUCUUCCUCCAUUAUCCAGCACAUAAUGGCUCCCAAGGACUGAGGAUCUUCAGCAAUCUAGAAGGCUGGAGAAGCAGGAACAGAUGCGUCCAGUGACUUCCACAGACCGGUGCUCCUGGAUGCUCCUGUGGCUCAUCUACCUCAAGCCGGGUGGUCCCUCUCUGCUGAGGACUGUUAGUGUAUGAAUCCCCCAAUUACUAAGUCAUGUGGCUCGGAUCGAGAGGAAAUGAGGACACGGACACACAUAGAGGAAAGACCAUGUGAGGACACAGGGAGAUGGUGACCAUCGACAAGCCAAGGAAACAGCCUCAGAAGAAACCAGCCUUGCCGACAGGUUGACCUCAGAGUUCCAGACUCCAGAACUGUGGGAAAACAAACUUCUGUUGGUUAAGCCACCUAAUCCUUGGUACUCUGUCUUGACAGCCCUAGCAAAUUAAUAGUGUGCUUUAAGUGCAAUUAACAAAAACGUAUAGGUUAUGUCAAAUACAAUAGUUGUUGGAACCCGUCUCCACAGGCUAAAGAAACAAAACCAACACUCAGCAAGCCAUCCAGUUGUGCUGUCAUCAGAGGAAAUGGGGAUGGCAGUGAGCAGAUCUGGGAGGAGAUCCAACGGUUACCAGACGCAAGCCAAGGAAGAUAGUGGGUUCAGGGUAAGGAUGUAAUGAGGUCCAUGUGGGAAAGCACCCGAUGGCCAGGAGGUCUCACUGCAACUCUCAGUGGCCAUAAUAGCAAUAGCACAAAUGCAACCCCACAGGCUGCUGUACCCAGUCUUUUACCUGGUUCUGAAUAUCAGGUGCUGGUAAUAUAUGGGUCAGAAAACAGAGGUAAGUUGAUCUGUCUUCCUGAAGUCCAUCUGUUCCUGCUGGACCCUAACCCUGUUCAUUCUUUUUUGGUCCUGGUCAGCUGAUGCUCCAAAGGUGGACACAUGGCUCCAACUCAUUCUAUUCAUUCAGUUUUCUGAAUUCAAGUUCAUGUUUUUCAUGAAGGCCAAUUAAUCGAAUUUUUUCUUUUUUAAACUUCAUUGAGUUCUCUGUUGUUGGUAGUGGUUUACAUCUCAGAAAUGUAAGCGUUCUGAGUAAUACACAUGGCAGUACAAAACUAUUGUUUUAUUAAACUAGUAAACCAAAGUUUGCCAUAAUCUUCCCAAUAGAAGACUGUGUUCUUUUAUCAAGAAGAUACAUAUUCUUUUAAAUUAUUCUAUAUAUUCCAUACCUAUUCUUUUAAAUUAUUCUAUAUAUUCCAUAUAUAAAAUAGUUGUUUGCUCUUGCUCAAGCAAAAUCCUCAAAACCCUCUGGAAUACUAUUCUUCCAGAAGUCAGGAACCAGAGAAACAAGCCAUAUCCUCAACAAUUAAGAAAACCUGAGUGUUUGAGAAAAUACAGAGGCAAGGAAAAUUUUACUGUUUUAAACUGGAGAACAUACAAAAGUUUUGCUUGAAUUCUGGGAAAGGCUGAGUGUUCAUGCUUGUCACUGAAUAUAUUAUUACUUGGUAUCCAGAUUAGAAAAAUAAAAUGUGGGGGGAGUCAGAGACAACUCCUGCAAGGUCCUAAAACCACACAAACUAGAUUAUCAUUUAAAUUCUUUAAACCUAUCCUAAGCUUUUCAUUUAAAAUCUUGCAGCAUGUUUUCCAAUAGUAUGGUCCACACGCAGAAUCAAACAAAUUGACAUGUUUCCUGGUUCUAAAUUUGUAUUUUCCUCUCUUCACUUCUCUCUUUAGCAGUAGCUCUUUGAAGAGCCUGUUAUAGGAGAAUGACCCUCAAAGGAAGGUUCAUGGCCAUUUCAGAGCCUGAACAUCACAUAUGUAUAUGGAGCUUAUUAACUGGUUAACAUACCUUCUUAGCAACCUGCUAUGAAGAUGUUGCAUGGCUUGGUUGUUAAUGACCACAAUUAUUCUAUCCUUGGUGGAGUUCUGUGUGCUUAAGGAAUGCACACACAUGGCCCUUUUAUGACUUAACAAGGACAGGUGCCCACCCGCUGCAAUUAGGAAAACAGACCAGGGCAGCAGGUGUCCAACCUGCAUAAUUAAUUCUUCAAACAGCAAAGUAGCAUAUUUCGUAAUCUCUGCCAACUAAACAGUAUGUGUGUGUGUCUGCGUGUGUACAUGUUCUGUUCCGACUAAUUGGCUGGGAGGUCAUGAAAGCGGGUACUGUAUUACAAGGAGAAUUUAUAUGCAUAUACAUGUACUUCAUUUCUGCAGAUACCUUUUGAAGUGGUGCUGUUAAGAAUCUCCCUCAAAAGCUAGUCUGCUCCCAGGUGUUGUUGGCCAUGUGAGAGGGCAGGAUGUAAACUGAAACCAUAAAUGAGUUACAAGGAUCAUUUUCUCUGAACAGCAUUACAGCAAAGAUCAGAUGGUGCCAAAAGAUGAUGCACUCAGCUCCCUCUCUCUAGAGACCUAGUCUUAGCGAUCCGCCUAACCCCGCGAGUGCUGUCUGGAGAUGGAGCACACCAUGGAGGAAAUGCCCUGCAACCAGAAGACAGAUAAAAAGACAGAACACUGGGCCAUUCAGAUAACAUAUGUCACCUGUGCGCACUCUGGAAAGCAGAAACAGGUUUUCCAUCCGACACUGACUUUAUCCAACAAAAGCGUCCUCAAAAUGCCUGGACCCACUUUAAACACAACAACUUUUGUAGAUUUCUCCCUGUUCAGCCACCAGACUGCAGUACUUUUCCCCGCUGGAUUUGUAUCAAACGCAGUUCAGACAGGAAGGCUGUUACCUGCCCCAGUAAUCAAAGGACAGUGGCGUGUGAUGGUGAUCUGAGUACCGGUUGGAGUGGAGAAGGGAGAGGAGCUAGAACUGGACAACCACACCAGAACUUCUGUGCACAUUAUGAAUCUCCCUCUUGUUUUAAUUACUUUUUGGUAGGAGUCUUUGGCUCAUAUUAUUACUGGCAAUGACUGCUGAGCUAUUCUCCCUUUCUUUCCAAUCAAUGGCUCUGGUUCCCAAUUUCAGCUUAAAAGGGGCAAACAGACCUUCCUUUCAUUGGCCACGUUCUCUUAUGUAUCUUCUCUUUCUCCUUUUCAAACACGAGUCCCAUUUGUAUUUUUGUCUAUGAAAGUAAGGAUGAAUGCUGAACAAGCACAGCCUAAAGUCAAGGGCUUCAAAACAUCUCCAGCUAGAUAAUCCUAACACUUUUAAGGCACAACGUUAAAAUGGGAGCCACUCGAAGGUAAUAAUAGGCCAUGAUUAUAUUUAUGAAGAUUUCAUUACCUUGUGAAACCAAAGCUGAUUAUGCUUUACCAUCAUGACUGCCUCAGUCAGGUUGCUGAGACACAAACUGUGGACCUGCUAGAAAAACAGCAUUAAUAACCCAGCACAUAAUGGCUCUCCACAGCAAUGUUGCAGAUGAGACGGGUGACUCUACCCUGAGAGGAGAUUCCUCUUUCAGCAGGCCAUUCCAAGUGAACUUUUUGGACUCUUUUAGGACCUCUUCCGUCAAAAGAAGUAUAAAAGAAAGGAGCACCAAAUGUAGGAGUUGUUCCUGUACUGUGUGUAGGUUUCACUUAGCUAUCCCCCUACCUCCUUACCACCGAGCUACCUUUAAUGAUUAUUGCGAGGGGCUUUUCAGUAGUAAAUUCAAAAUCUACCUGUGCUCAUCUCAUUUCCUGGGCCAUAAAUUUUAUAACCUGAGCUGUCACAAUUCUGCAGAGUAUUAGGCUGUUACUAGCUAUAAAUCUCAAGGUGAGUCGCCUGGUUCUGCCCAGAAAUAACAGAUCUCCAUGUUUCCCCAACUACUGACUCAUUCAUUUAUUCCACAGACAUUUAUUGAUAACUAAGGAUGUGCCAGAUCCUGGAUAGGUACUGAAGCAACAAUCAGACUGGUUCAGAGACAUGGGAUCUGUUCCAACGUCCCAUUAGGACAUGUCAAUGAAAGUUAGGGUUUCCUUCCACUGUGCAGAAAGAGAAUGCCAGUCAACUUCACUAGCUGUUCUAGAGUUCCCUCUCAGUGAUGAAACUUUUCCACAUCUGAAUUCACCAUCCUGACUAGAGAGGAAAAGGAAACAAAACAAAACAAAACACAAGGCAUCACAGUCUCAACUGCUACCAAAGAGAGAGGUGAUGAUGCCCAUGUACUAGUGGUCAGUGUUCUUGUUUCAAGUUUACAGACCUGGAGGGUAGAAAAACAGAUGGGCAGAAAUAAACCAGCCAACAAGUAGAAUGUUGUGUGAUGACUGUAUAGAGAAAGCAUGAGAUUAUUCCUAUUGGAUAUGCAGGGGUGAGUUUUGUAGAGGAGCUGUUAUUUAAACUCAGUCUUGAAGAAUGGCUUUAUUCUGUCAGAAGGAGCCUUCUUUCUAGGAUUGAGUAAGCAAAGGCACAGAGGGACUCCUGGGGUAUGUUUAGAGUAACAAGUGCCUGGUUCCUCUAGGAAAAUAUAUUCCAUUGUGGCCAGAAAUAAGAUUCGUUUACAUGGUUCCUGACAUGACUGCCCACUGACAGAAACUAAAUUUAUGAAGGUCUAAACACAGAAAUUAAAAAAUAAAUUAUUUAAAAGUAUGAGGUGAGAGUAGGCAUAAAGAAUUCAAGGAAUGACAUUUACCUAUGUUACUUUUACCAAGAGAAUCAGGUAAGUCCAGCCUCAUCUGAAGGGACUAAAAGAGUUAGUGAAGUCAUUUCACAUUGAAAAUCUUGAAGCUGAUGUAGUCUAAGCUACGAGUCUAGGCUGUAACCAGAAGAAAUUCAAGGAAAAUCCUUCUCAGUCUUGGCUUUCCCCAACUUCUGUGUGUCAUGUGAUGAGAUUCCCUUCAAAUGGUCACUAGACUAUUGACCAACUUAGUAACAGCCUGUAGGCCUCAAACUGUAAACAAUUUUAUGAUGAUGAUGUCAGUGUUGGCUUGAAUUUUGAGUAAGUAUGUCUGACUAAUCAGGAAGAAGUGGAAAGAGGGAACCAACCGGGUACAUGUGGUUACAACUGAUUAGCACGUGGCUCCACCCAGUUAGCCUCAUGAAGGGAAGUGUGGUGCCUCCUCUCAGGCAGCAGUAACGCCCUCUCUGGCCUCAUGGGCGCUAAUGAACCUGCUGUAAUUGGCCAGUGGAAGUGGUGCUACCUUCUCAAUAGAAAGGGGUUAACAGUGCUCCCUUCUUCUUUCCCAAUUCCUUGUAGCUAGGGGCCAGCCUUCUCUCCACCACUCCACCCCAGCCUGAGGACAGGGAGAUGCAACAACAAAAUAAGCUACCAUCUAGCCAGGAGUAUAUAGAAGUGUGUGUUCCUUUCUGUUGGGCACAAUCAAAAGGCAAAGAAGCGGACAGGUUGGAACCCGAGUGAUGGCCUUGGGCCAACUCUAAGAUGCUGGCUUGGUGGCUUCCUAUAGCUUAGCACAUCAAGUCCUUGGCUUCUAGAUCUAGUUUGUGCGGUCUGUGCUUGAUGGCACAGAGGCCCUAAACAGGACAGUCUCUACUGUGUACAAAUGCAUCGUGCUUACUCUUGCAAGCAUAUGUUUCUAAUGUAUUCCCUUCAUCUGGAAUAUGCUUCUCUCUCAUCUAAAUCUAUCCAAAUAUUCUUAGUUCUUCAUUCACUUAAUAAUUAUUAAGGACUAGUGUUAAGCCCGAGGGAUAAAAGCUUAAGAAGGCAUCACACCUGCUGUCAAGGAGCAAAUAGUCCACUCCUAGGUUUUCAGUUGAGUGCCAACUCCAACCAAUUAUUAACGGAACUCUAUACUGAGGAUUCUGAAAUCCGAUUCAGGCUGAAUAAUAAUAAUGGGUAUAUCAAGCUUGAUUAGCAAUGUCUGCCACAUGGGUAGCAGGAGUUCGUGAUGGCAUGCAUGCCGUAUACUUGCCAUCUCUGGGUCUGGCUUAAUUUCUACCUCCUAAAAAAAAAAAUUUCCCCUACAAUCCCCAUUCCCCAGUGUUCAAUAGUAUCAUUCUUCUGCAUCUUACAAUUUAGAACUAGAUUCUAUUGCAUUACAUUAAAUUUGUCACACAUGUUAGCCUUCUUUCCACAACUAAAAUCUAAGCUGAGGGCACAGGUCAAGUGUGCAUCUUCUGUAAUGAAAAGAACCAAGCACAAAUAAAAUGCUCAAAAAAUACUUGUUCAGUUGACAUGGGAAUAGAUGCACAAUCGCACCAAGAACUUUUCUCAUUUUCUUCAGUACUCUCUAGUCAUGGCACCUUUGUGUUCUCGAGGUCAUUUCCAUAAUAUCACAGAAUCUGAUUAUAAAGUGGGGGAUUUAAAGUUCCAGUACUGGGAUCAAAGCUCCUCCUGGAUCCUGGAGGGGAUUUUUAUGGCUACAGGAAAAGUUACUGUUAGCUCUAAGUUACCACAGCUGGAUCAAACCUAGCAUAUCACCAGGUUGAUCAGAGUGUGGCUCCAAAGCUGGUAAAUGUGAGCAAUUGCAAGCCACUCUCUUUUGGCAAGUGGCUUUCUGGACUAACCACAAUUUUUUUCUCUUGUUAGUAAAUAAUAGAAAAUGACUGACUGUGAAAACUAAAAUUAUAUUCACUUCAACUUCCUACCUCUUAAGAAGGUAAGGGUACAAGUUACUUCCAGAUCACCAAAACUAAACAUGAUAAAGUCUGAAGGAUGAAUUUUUAAAAGUCCAACCCAAUAUUUAUUGAACUUCUAACAUAUAUUUAAAACUUUAUUAAGCGCUCUAUGUGAAAUUUACAAACCCUCUGGGAGCCUGUAAUUUAUUUGGUUAAUGAAAGAAAUGAGUAUGAUCCAACCAACCAAUAAUGCAGGAGAGUAUAAUCUAGUGUUACACCCAGGUUAACACCAUGUCAUGGCUACUAAUAACUGAAUUGAUAUUUAGAAUUUAGUUGAGAGCCAUGUUAAUGCUUAAAUCCCAAACCAUUAGAGCUGCUAAACCAUUAGCUGCUGCUAAUCAUGCCCUCACAGAUCAAUUUCAGGGUCACUGCUAUUUUUUAAACCAGUAAGAUAGAAAUCUUUGAAGCUGUCCCUACCUGCAAAAUAUGUCUAGAAAUACCCAUUUCAGAUAAAUUUAGACCCAAUAAAUGGUAUUUUUAGCAACCAUGAUUUCUACAGAUGUGGGCUGAGAUUUAUGGUUAAUCUGUUUUCCAGUUCAAAGCAAAGGAACAGUUUAAAAUUGGAAUCUUUUAAUAUAUCGUGAUCAACCAAGAUGACAUAGUCCAAGUACAUUCAAUACAUUUUCCUCUGGUAUAUUCAAAUUGGAUUUGCGGAUAUGAUUUCCUUAUCCCUAGUCUUUUCCCGUAGAACAAAGGAAUUACACAGAUAAUUCAGGCAAAUCCUUCCCACUCCUACAUCACUCCAGGAACAUUCUGAAUAACCAAGAUGAAUCAGAUGAAAUCAAGCUUUUUGUUUUGUUUUAAGCGUAAUUAUUCUGAUAACUAUGUCAGUGCUCCAUUUCACUUUGGCUGUGAGGAUAAGACCUUAGGAGACUUUUCAGCCAGGAACAGCACUAAGGAAAAACAUGUGGAAGACCAAGGGAGCCGGUAUUUCACCCCAGGGCUCCCCAUCCCCAGUGUGGAUGGAUACUUAACGUAUAACGCUUGUAUAGAGGUUCCUCAUCUAAUUUAGUGAAGUAUUCACAUUUUAGAAGUUUAUUUUUCUACUUCAGAAGUACUCAUUUCAGGAUUUCAAAUAAAAUGAAUGUCUUUAGUAUUUGAUGAUGAUCUGCUUUACAUACAAGUUUUUAAGAAUUCCAUCAGGUUAAAAUAGAGUGAGACUCUAAAUAACUGUUUAUUCAAAGAUUUCUGCUCAAAUGCCUUCUACCUGAAUUAUCUAUAUAACUCAAGAUGAAGCUGGGCUGGGGUUAAAGCCGGAUAGAUCAUCCCUACUGUCCUAAUUCCCCAAACAAUCCCCAAUCUCCCCCUUACAGUGCGCCUGGAAGGCCUUGUGUAAAAUAGCACCAGAUAAAAUUACCCUCCUAGGUACUCUUCGGCAACUCCACAAUCAACUGAGCAACCUAUAAAUUUACAUUCCAAAGCCCAAUGGCACAGCGACCAAUAGUACCUCAUUCCUCCUCAAUCUUUGUCUUUCUCCUUUAAAUAAGAAAACCUUAUGUUAAUGGGGAGAUUAUUGAAAGAGUCUCCUUGUAAGCCAUGAAUGCCACUUCACAGACUGUACAAAAAGCAGAGCUCUAUGAACAGUACAAUAGAGUCAACUCAUCUUUGUGAAAAGCUCAGCAUCAGCCUUACAGAGAACUUAAAUAGUUCCAAUUCCUAGAUCUCUAUUAAAACAUAAUGAGUCCAUGCUUAUGCCACUGUGAGUCCAUGCACACACAUACGCAAAGGCAAGUUUACUGCACAGAGGGCAGUCAUAUUGUAAAUCAGGACUUAACCUUGACAUUGGAUUACAUUAUUUUUUCAAGCUAUUCAAGAUCAUCUGCUCAUUCUGAAGUAUUUUCUUCUCAUUGAUGUAUCUGAAUCAAGUACCUUUAAGAUAAAACACCUAAAUACCAAAAACCCAUACAAAAUAAAUCUUAGAUAUUCAAAUUUAGCAAAAAGCCAAAUAUAAAUUAAAUACUGAAAAUCUCUGCAGACUUGCAAUAUCUUGUUAAUUGCAAUAAUAAAUAAAUAAAUAAAUAAAUAAAUAAAUAAAUAAAUAAAUAAAAUAAAAUAAAAUAAAAUAAAAUAAAACAAAACAGGCAACUGGAAAAAAAUGCACAUGUACCAGAUAACCUAAAAAGUUUGGGAAGGAGUUAUUGAAAAGAACACUCUGGUCAACUAAGACACAGCAAAGUAAACUCAAAAUUGCACCUUUGACAGUACUCCUGAGUUGUAUAACAAUGUAUUUUAACUAUGUAAAUGGUGCCCCCAGAAUUGCCCUCAGAGAGUCCCCUACACAGAAUACACUGUGAUCAGUGCCUGGGAGAGUUAACAAAGUGGUUGUAUUUUUCUGGUAAUGCAAAGACACUCUAGGAGUCUUGAGUGUCUUGAAAUUAUUGUUGUGAAACAUCAUCAUUUUAGGGUAUAUGUAAAAUGUCCAGAUACUGAAUCGUUCUGUUUUGAAUUCUGAAGUCUACCUGUAAUUUUGUACCCUGGAAUGAGCUGAUUAUAAAUUUGUAUUUGGCAUAAGCCCUUAACUAAACCCGAUAAAUACACUGAAAUUAGA